UUUCCAGAUGACAACGACAAAACAGAAGCGCGCGCACCCACCUUGUGGCACUGCAUUCCAAAGUCGUUCCCAAUGCACGACCAGGCACGUCCACAAAACACCAGACACUUCUUUGCACGAAAAAUGCUUCCCUACCCGACAUUACCAGCACCGACACGAAAAGGGGUCUCCUUUGUCGGACCGUUCGUGAUCCCGCCUAAUG